rnacentral:rRNA from 1 species
UGGGGAAUAUUGGACAAUGGGCGCAAGCCUGACCCAGCAACGCCGCGUGAAGGAUGAAGUAUUUCGGUAUGUAAACUUCGAAAGAAUAGGAAGAAUAAAUGACGGUACUAUUUAUAAGCUCCGGCUAACUACGUGCCAGCAGCCGCGGUAAUACGUAGGGAGCAAGCGUUGUUCGGAUUUACUGGGCGUAAAGGGCGCGUAGGCGGCGCGGUAAGUCACUUGUGAAAUCUCUGAGCUUAACUCAGAACGGCCAAGUGAUACUGCAGUGCUAGAGUGCAGAAGGGGCAAUCGGAAUUCUUGGUGUAGCGGUGAAAUGCGUAGAUAUCAAGAGGAACACCUGAGGUGAAGACGGGUUGCUGGGCUGACACUGACGCUGAGGCGCGAAAGCUAGGGGAGCAAACGGGAUUAGAUACCCCAGUAGUCCCUGAGCGGGCUGGCAAGGCGCAU